AAACCGUCAAGCCCUGCUUGGUCUUGAGUCCGGUCUAGCGACCGGCCCGCAACUAUUUGGCGGCGUCGCCCGGCCCUGAGCGUAGCAGAAACUACCUCGCUCCAGGGGCCCGCGGAGGCGCCCGCCGGAAGCGCAAGUCUACA
rnacentral:misc_RNA from 1 species